rnacentral:rRNA from 1 species
GACGAACGCUGGCGGCGUGCCUAAUACAUGCAAGUCGAGCGCAGGAAGCCGCCUGAACCCUUCGAGGGGACGACGGUGGAAUGAGCGGCGGACGGGUGAGUAACACGUAAAGAACCUGCCCACGGGUCUGGGAUAACCACGAGAAAUCGGGGCUAAUACCGGACGGGUCAUCGGACCGCAUGGUCCGAGGAUGAAAGGCGCUCCGGCGUCGCCCGUGGAUGGCUUUGCGGUGCAUUAGCUAGUUGGUGGGGUAACGGCCCACCAAGGCGACGAGGCAUAGCCGACCUGAGAGGGUGAUCGGCCACACUGGGAGUGAGACACGGCCCAGACUCCUACGGGAGUCAGCAGUAGGGAAUCUUCCACAAUGGACGAAAGUCUGAUGGAGCAACGCCGCGUGAACGAUGAAGGCCCUCGGGUCGUAAAGUUCUGUUGUAAGGGAAGAACAAGUGCCGCAGGCAAUGGCGGCACCUUGACGGUACCUUGCGAGAAAGCCACGGCUAACUACGUGCCAGCCGCCGCGGUAA